rnacentral:rRNA from 1 species
CAGCAGCCGCGGUAAUACGGAGGGGGCUAGCGUUGUUCGGAAUUACUGGGCGUAAAGCGCACGUAGGCGGCUUGGUAAGUUAGAGGUGAAAGCCUGGAGCUCAACUCCAGAAUUGCCUUUAAGACUGCCGAGCUAGCAGGUGAGAGAGGUAAGUGGAAUUCCGAGUGUAGAGGUGAAAUUCGUAGAUAUUCGGAAGAACACCAGUGGCGAAGGCGGCUUACUGGCUCAUACUGGACGCUGAGGUGCGAAAGCGUGGGGAGCAAACAGGAUUAGAUACCCCUGUAGUCCCUGUCUCUUAUAA